rnacentral:rRNA from 1 species
UACGAAGGGGGGCUAGCGUUGCUCGGAAUCACUGGGCGUAAAGCGCACGUAGGCGGCUUUUUAAGUCAGAGGUGAAAUCCUGGAGCUCAACUCCAGAACUGCCUUUGAUACUGGAGAGCUUGAGUCCGGGAGAGGUGAGUGGAACUGGCGAGUGUAGAGGUGAAAUUCGUAGAUAUUCGCAAGAACACCAGUGGCGAAGGCGGCUCACUGGCCCGGUACUGACGCUGAGGUGCGGAAAGCGUGGGGAGCAAACAGGG